rnacentral:lncRNA from 1 species
ACCGCUGAGUAAUAUGUUUUAGUUCCCUCUUACUAUAAAAUGUCCUGUAAUCCCACGCAUUGAGCGACUCCUCCAUUGGCGCCACUGGGCGCGCCCUCUACUGGUCAGGAGAGGCAGCGCCACGCGGGGAUCCCGUGGACUUCAGAGCCUUUCCCUUCCCUCCCCGCCAUAUUUCGGGUUAGCGCGAGGAUGGAACGUGGAGUCGUGAGGUAUUUUAUGUCUGAAGUACUGUUUUCUAUUUCUGAAAGAACGUUUGCGAUUGGGAAACCUAAAAAUCCCGCCCCACUCCCCUAUUUUCCUGCCUUUCAGUGCCCCUCGGGAAUACACGAAAGUACAUGCUGAUCGGAAGGCGGCGGCUUUCGAAAGGCCCAGCUGUGGACCGUGGAAAGGUCCUCCUUCUCUGCCGCAAAUACUGACGCGUGCAGGAGCGCACUCUCACACCCGGGGGCUCCGCGCGAGGAGAAACUUCUGCCGCGAUCCGGCUGUGGAGCCCGAGGUGGGGCGGUGCCUCUCCGAGCACUGGCGUAGCUGCGUGGCGCGGCCUCUUCCUUCAGGGCCGCGCCCCAGGGCAGGGAGACGGAAGGCUGAGCCCCGGCGCCACCCAGCGUCCUCCCGGUGCAGUGCAUGUGGGAGCCCGAAACCCGGGACACAGAUGGAGAUUGUGCCUAGGCUGGCUAGGAGCGUUAAACAACAGAUCUCCUUUAGAAGGACAAAGGGACAAAGGAACACGGGGCGUUUUUUCGCCUGUCAGACGAAUCAUUUGAAGGAUAGGAACUGGAGCGCCAGUCGUGUACUAAAUCCGACACCCCCCUCCACACACCGAUGAUCGCAGUACAAGUUUUGCAAGGGCUGUUGGCGGUGCAGGACUUGUGUGAGGCGCUUUGCUCCAGGGCCUGGUGGGGAAGAAGCCUCUGGGGAGAAGUCACGUACACGAAUGGCUCCCCAGAUAGAGAGGGCGGCUCACAGUGCAAGGCUCACAGUGCACCGCGCUGUGGGAGCACAGCCAGCAAGGAGAGGGUGAAGGUGAGGUCCCUGUGUCACGGAAGAGCUUCUACCUGGAUUCACAGCAGAUGGAGUUUAACCUGUAUGCAAGAUGAAGCGACAAAGGUACUGUGGAAGAGAAUGGCAUGACCAUAUCCGCAUUUUAAAAAGACGUGGGUAGCAGAGGAUGGAUUGCAGGAAUUAGGAAAUCUGGGUGGAAGCGGGGAGAGCUAGGAGAUUGUUAGAAGUCAGAGAGGUGUAAAAGUCUCGGAGCGUGGAUGUGAACUAGAGCCUUCUGACUGCAAGUCCAGCCUGCCUGUCACCUGCCCAGGGCCCUCUCCAUCUAACUGCACUGUGAUUCAUUCACAUGUGCAGUCAUUUUGUAGUCAGGAGUGGCACACCGCAUUAGGCACACUUUUCCUGAAACAUCAGCUUCCCCACAUUUGGAAAUUC